GUACACGCUGUGACUAGCAUAUCAAUAAGCGGAGGAAAAGAAACUAACAAGGAUUCCCUUAGUAACGGCGAGUGAAGCGGGAAGAGCUCAAAUUUGAAAUCUUGAAAGGGUCCACCUUUCACGAAUUGUAGUUUAAAGAAGUGUUUUCUGUUACGAUCGUAAUAUAAGUUCUUUGGAAUAGGACAUCACAGAGGGUGAGAAUCCCGUCUAUGAUUGCGAUUUGUAGCUUUGUGAUACACUUUCAAAGAGUCGGGUUGUUUGGGAAUGCAGCCCAAAACGGGAGGUAAAUUUCUUCUAAGGCUAAAUAUUGGCGAGAGACCGAUAGCGAACAAGUACCGUGAGGGAAAGAUGAAAAGAACUUUGAAAAGAGAGUUAAAUAGUACGUGAAAUUGUCAAAAGGGAAGCGUUUAACACCAGUGUUGUUUUCUGAAAAUCAACCUCUGUUAGCUUUAUGCAUGUUUGUUUAGACCUAAUCAGCUAUCUUUCAUGUUCUAUUGUUUGCAGUGGUGCACUUUUCAGUUUACAGGUCAACAUCAGUUUUUUUUACCGUAAAAAAGUUAAAGAAAGGUAGCUCAUGGCUCCGGUCGUGAGUGUUAUAGUCUUUUUCCUAUGCGGUAGGAGAGACUGAGGUCUGCAGUGUAGGCUAUUUGGCUAGAUACUCAGGUGCUAUGUGAUACCAUUUCAUAAACAACUUGUUGAUUAUGUUUUGUCUAUUGCAUACUCGCUUGUACUAUCAUACCUACGCUUAGGAUGUUGAGUAGCGACAUACGCAC
rnacentral:rRNA from 1 species